rnacentral:lncRNA from 1 species
UUUCAGUGAGUUUUUUUCUAUUUCUUGUGUAGCUAUUGUAUUGCUAAGGCCAAGGGAUGACAUGGGUGUUGAAUUUUUGUGAGCAUUGUUAUUCCAUCGUGCUUGCCUCCCUGCCCAUCAUUUGCCUUGCUUUUCUCAUGUGAGUUUAGUAAUGAGAUCCUUGCUAAAAGAUGAAAAGACAAACAUUAUGAUUUGAAAGAUGGCCAAACGUGUCACCUAUGCUCUAGGCUUAUACGUUUAUACAUGCCAGUUGUAUACGGGCCUAAAUAAUUAAUCUUCUCUCUCUCUCUCUCUCGCACUAGCAUUCAUGGAAACACAACAAUGAAAGAAUUAAACUCGCAUAGAGUGAGAGCAAAGGCAAAAGGUCAGGGAGAAGAAGGAGGCAUGGAUAUCCUUUUUAUUCCAUGUCACUGAGUAACCUAACGUUUUUAGUGCUGCAAAAUAUGUUUUAAUGUUAUUACACACACACACAAAUAUAUAUAUGAUUGAUAUAUAUAUAUAUAUUGUAGCUUGAGAUCAAUCAGACCAAAGACCAAUCUUUAUGGUUUUACCUCCAGGAUAUGGGCGCUUAGACUUCUUUUUUUCUUUUCUACCCUCUUUUCCCGUUUCAGAAUUUUCCUCUAGCCCUUUGUUGAAAAGGGGAUUGCAUGUAUGAAUGCUGUCUCGUAAAGCACCGCCUUUUGGGAAAUUGAAUCUUUUUGACCUUUGCAAACAUAAAGUAAACCACUUUCUCCCAUGCUUUUAUCCGUGAUAUUUUUUGCUUUAGUCUUUGAUUUUGUAGGAGCCGAGGGAGGUCUUUGGCCAUGUUGAUGAAUUCCUAUGAAGGUUUUAAUUAUGACCACAAUUUUCCAUGGUGUGAUUGGUAUGUGUACAACUUGACCAAAACUCUAUGAAAACUUUGUGCCAUUGGAUGAGAAGUUGAGGACCUUGUAAGUAUAUAGCUCCACAAUAGUACUUACAAGUGUAACCUAGAGCCCUAGACCUUGAAAAUUACUGAAGGAUCCAAUGAAACUUUGUCUUUCGCCCUUUUUCACUCCGCUGUCAGGAGUCAGGACAGAGCAUGUUGUGGAAAUUGGGAAGAUGGUAAAGCUACAAUUUUUUUCAGGCACUAUAAUCUUUCCUGUUACAGACAUGAAGUGCAACGACCCCUGCCCUCUCAACCUAGAUUGUCUCUAUGACUUGGGACAAUCUAGGUGGUGGUCCAGUGGUAAGAGCUUGGGACCAAGAGAUUUGCUCUCUUUGUGGUCUCAGGUUCGAGUCCUGUGGUUGCUCAUAUGAUGGCCACUGGAGGCUUAGAUGGUCGUUAACUUCAGGGCCCGUGGAAUUAGUCGAGGUACGCGCAAGCUGGCCCGGACACCCACACUAAACUAAAAAAAAAAUUGUCUCUAUGACUUUCUUGUAAUAUCACUGUUGAAUCUUCUUUUUUUUUUAAUGGGCAGCACGCAUCCUUUUAUAGACUCAUUGACAAAAACUAUAUUGAACAUGUUCAACGCAUCCAAAAACUCCUCGGAAGCGUUUAUUAAGAGAACAUCUCAAAUCCAUUCUUCUAAUCUAAGAAUAUUUAAUCUCAGAACGUUUUUAUUGUUUUUAUUAUAGAAUAUCAAAUUCUUGAAAAUCUGAUAAGUCUUGUUCUUCUUAUUAAAAGAGGAAAGAUUUUCGUUUAUUAAAAAAAACACUAAACCCAUUAGUGUAAGGCUGGACUCGUUGCUAUGUGAAUUGCUACAUUGGAAUGAUAUCUUUGUCUUUCAUGAAAAAAGCCAAAUAGUCUAUCUUCGGGGUAAAUUGAUAUUUUCUAGGGAAUUUAUUUGUCAUUGUAAAGUUCAUUGGAGUUAUAAUGUUCUAUCAACCUUUUUUUCCCAGUUAAAUAACAGAAAUGUUCUUUAAACCUAAAAACAAAUUGAAAGGUUAAGAAGAGUAUUUUUGACAUUCCCUUUUUAAAAUAGUAAAAUUACUUCAUUGUCCUUAAAGGAAAAAAAAUAAAGAAAAUAUCAAGGGAUAUUUUGAUUUUUUCAUAAUGGUUAUUUUGUUUUAAUCUAUUUGAAUUAGAAGCAAAUCAAUAUUUUAACAAAUAAAAAUAUUAAUAAAAAAAGUUGGUGGAUGCAAUGGUGAGUGCACGUCAUCCGCGCUCUUUAAACGAUGUGUGUGUAGCGUCUUAUGGCGGCCAAAAAAACUCAACUACCAUGUUGUUCAAAAUGUGCAGUGGCAACGUAGCUGGUAAGACAACAAAUGUAAUGAUAUUCAUGAAGGUUCGGUGAUGAUUGAAUCUUUUUUCUUCCCCUCUUUUCUCUUCUCACCUUGAAAUCCUUGUUGGGUCAACCAAAUUCAGAUCAGUUGUCCUCUCAUUUAUUUUUUUUCUUUCAUCCGUGGUCCUCCUUCUUUUGAUUAGUCUUUUUUUGUUUUUGGUUUUUUUUUUUGUUUUUUUUUAAUUUCAUCCUUUUCUACUUGGUUUUAUUUUAUUUUUAUAUCAAAUACUCAUUCUUAUCAUUGUUGUUUUUUUUUUAUCAUUUUCUUGAUUUGUUUUUUUUCAAUUUUGUUUCUCAAUAUUUUAUUUCAUUUAUUUUUUUUUCAAUUUUGUUACUCAUUCUUUUAAUUGCUCUUUUUUAAUCCUUUUCUUAAUUUAUUUUAAUUUUCCCUUAACAUUUUAUUUCAUUUAUUUUUUAUUCAAUUUUUGUCCUUAUUCUUUUAAUUUCUUUUUUUUUUAUUAUUAUUUUAUUUUAUUUUUCAAUUUAGUCUCUCAUUAUUUUCUUUCAUUAGUUUUUAUACCAGAUUUGAUCCUCAUUAUUUUAAUUGUUAUUUAUUUUCUUUUUAAUUUUUUAUGAUUGAUAAUUUUGUUCAUGAUUUUUUGUUUUUUGCCUUCUACUAGAUCAUCCUAAUCUCAUGAUUCGGGUCACUAGUUUUGAAAAUUAGCAUGAUUUAACUUCGGCCUUUUCAUAUAAAAAAAAAUUCAAGUUCAUUUUUUGACAUUAGGUUAUUAGGCCUUGAGCUUUUUAUUUUUUUUUCCUUUCUAUGCGGUUAACUCGGGUUGACUUAUAUUUUUUUUUCAAUUCCAUCCUUUGAUAUCAGGCUACUAGGUCUUGAGCUUUCUGAUUUUUUUUUUAUGCUUUUCCUUUCUAUGGGGUUAUCCUGGGUCGUUGGUUAGUCAAGUUAACCUAGAGUGACUUAGUUUUUUUUCAAUGUUUUUUAUUUAUUUAAAUUCAAUCCUAUUUUUCUAGGUUAUUUAAAAAAAAAUAUUUUUCUUAGUGAAUAUUGAUAUUAGGAAGAAAAUAGGGAAUUAUUAAAGAAUUUUAUAGAAAAAAUCAAGUUGAAAUUCAAAAUCUAUUUUGAAGUUGAAGAUGGCAGAAUUAUAGUUUAGUCCUUAGUUUUGGAAAAUUAUGAUUUUGCCUAUGAAUUCAAAAAAAAUUAUAGCUUCGCCCAUGGUUUUAAAUGGCAAUUUUUUGGAUAGGUUUUGAUAAAUAAUUGAGACUUACUAAUGGUUUAUUAUCAAUUUUAUUUAUUUCAUUUGAAUUUGGAAUUAAUUUUAUUAUAUGUUGAAAUGAGUUUAGAUACUUAAGAAGCCCCACAUAUUGCUUGUUUGUAAAAGAUUGGUUGAACAUUGCUAUUUACAUACUUGUUGCAUAAUUGUGAGUAAUUAAUAUAAAUAUACCUUAAAAGUAUCAAGAAUUUUUUCCAUGCAUUUAUUUUGAAACUGAUAUAUUAAUUGUGAGUAAUCGAUGUAAAUAUUUUUUUAAAGAAUGUUUAUAAAGCAUGUGUGUUUGCGUCCUUAUAUUUAUAUGAAAUAUGAUAUAUGAACUUGGUGUGAUGAUAGGUUAUAUACUUGGUGUGACAAGUUAUAUAUAUGGUGUGAUGGGUUAUGAAAUAGUAUGAAAUUUACUAAUUAAAUCACUAUGUGUGUGUGUGUGUGUGUGUUUGAUUUUAUUAUUCUUGAAUAUAUUUAUAUUAGUUAAUCACUAAGUUGUGGAAACUCAUCCUUUUUCCACAAUUAUUUUCUUUCAAGCUUAUAGAUUUAAAAACUGGAGAAAAUAACUUGACAACUAAGAGUUAGAUGUCAAUUUGUUGCUCGUUUGCCUUUUGGUCUUUCUUGAAAACUUUCUAUUGUUUUUUCAUAUUGUGAGUUGUGUAUAUAAAUGAUGUAAAUCUUUAAAAUUACAAUAGAUUUCAAUUGUGAAUUGAGUUCUUGUUCAGAGACAUUAAUAUUUUGUAUAUGUAUAUAUGAUUGAUGUGAUUGAGUGUUUUUAUUUAUUUGAAUUUCUUGUUUGAGAAAUGUUAUAGUUUGAGGCUUCGUAUGGUCAAAGUAGCAUUUAUAUAUUUAGACCAUGUGCCUUUCAUGUUUUGAUUAGGGUGCAAUAGUAAUACCAUUAUUGUGUUUUAGUUCUUGGCUAAAAUGUCAUACUAUGAUUACCAAAUUGGCAAAAACCAAAUCAUGGUAUAGAUAGAAGUCUGUCAGCUAACCUUCAAUAAAAUAAUAUGUUUUGUGUUGGAUGAUUCUUUGAUAGGUACUGAAAACCUCUUUUUUUUUUUUUGUAUAUGAAUUAAUUUUAGAAAAUAACUAGUAGGUUUGUGCUUAGCAUGAGGGUACUUGUUAAGAUUUGAAAGUCUAUUUAACUUAUAUAUGCUUAAUGAAUCUCAAUUCCAAAAUUUCCAUAUGUAAUACACAUAUGUAUGAGAGUGCAAGACUUGUUUACAUACUUAUCACAUAUGAUGGUAACUCGAAAUUAAUAUCUGAUCCAAUAUUAAUAAUAAUAUAUCACACCCAUCUUAUCAUAUAAGUAUGUCAAAGUAAGAAUAUUAAUUUAUGAUAAGUUUAUGUUGCUGCCAUUCAUAAAAACUAGUGAGUCUAAAAAGGCGGAUUGAUAUUUGGCUGUCAUAAUCUAUCUCCAUUAAAGAUUACUAGACUCAUUGAAUUGUUAGACCCAUUUAAGAAAAAGAUGUAAACCCCUGGUCCAAAAAUCAGUAAACCAAAAUCAUUAUGGUAAUCCUUAAUUGAAAAAUGGUAAAUUAAGAGGAAAUAUUAUUGUGAUUUAAAAUAAACAUCCUCAAUGAGUACUUAACUUAAAUUUUGGAUGAAAUAAAGUAAUAAAAUUGAUACGUGAAAUGUUAACUAGUGAUAAAUCGUGUAAACUUUUCAAUCGUGUAAAAUAACUAUUUAAAGAAAAAUAUUUUUUUUUUUAGAUAAUAGUCGAGAUUUUGUUAAAUGUUUUGGCUAAAAAGAGAAUAAGCCUUAUAAUAACAAUAAGGCAACAAUAGAGAAAAGAAAAUAAAGAAGUCAUAAAAGCAUGAAAUCUGCAAUAGAAAGAAGAAAACAGGGAUCAAACAAUGGAUAAAAACUAGAAGUCAACUUUUGUUAUCCCCAAAAAAGAUCCCAUCAGAGUUGAUCACUAAAUCCAAACUGGUGGAAGCAGGAGUUAUGCUAUCAAACUUUAACCAUAAAGAGAACCUGUGAAGGAACAAGUGAAAACAACCUUGAAGAUCUGGAGUAGCAUCAUUGAAGAUUACAUCAUUGCGAUGAAGCAACAGACUCCACACAAUAGAAGAAAAGAGAAGCUGCUAUGAAAGAUUCUAAAAUUUACCUUGCACCAUUGGUAGCAUAUAUCAUCAACAAAAUUUAAGAAAUAGUCACUAAUACCCCCUACAGAUAUAGAAAUUCCAUCCAUAACGUCCAGAAAAAAACACAUUAAAUGAAGAGAUGACUUGAAGUUUCAAUACUUCUUUUAUAAAAACACAUAUCUAGCUUGCUGAAGAGAAAGGAAAUCAUGCUGAAAUAAGAAAUCAUUGGUGAAAACUUUAUCUCGGACAAGCAGCCAAAGAAACAAUUAAACUUUUAGGGGGCAUCUUUUAACCAUACUGAAGACUGAAAAGGUUGGACACCACCAUAGAGUAAUUGAUCCAAGAGAUGGGCACUCGAUUUUACUGUAUAGAGACCAUUUGUGUUGAGAGUCCAUCUACAUAUCCGACCUAAAACGAUGCAUUAUCUUUGUUCCUAAUAAGGACAACAAGUUGGGAUCCCAUUCUCGAAAGCUGAUUUGUAUAGGUUAAUAAUAAUAGAUUUUCAUAGACCAGAGCCUAAAGAAAAAAGUCUCGAUAUCCAUUUAAAUAACAUAGCUCUAUUUUUUUACAUAAAGGAGCAUAUACCAAGACCUCUUUGCUUCUUAUCACGCAUUACCAAUCUUUAUUGGACGUUAUAAAAAGAUCUAUGCUUAAUAGAGCCACACCAUAAGACACGUAAUUGAGUAGAGGUAAGUAAUCUACAAACUCCCUUCAGCAUCAAGAAGACUAACAUGAAAAAAUUGACAACGAGUUGAUGACACUCUUAAUUAGGCAUAGACACCCAGCUAUGCUUUAAAACCUACCCUUCCACUGAUUUAGUCUUCGAUGAAAUUUGUCUAUAACUAGCUUUUCACAUGGAUAUGCAAUUUGGAUUUGCACCCAAUGACAUAUACCAAGAUAAGUGCACGAAAAAGAGUCAGUCAUGCAAAAAGUAGUUGAAGCCAGGCUCAUACAAAAACAAUCUUCCACGUUGGCUUUGAUAAUAGAGCUAUUAUGGAAGUUAAUGUGAAGACCUGAACUUAAAGCAAACCACCUCAGAAUUCUUUUGACUUGAAGAAAUUGAUCAAUCUCUAUUGGUGUCAUAACCCAUUUAUGGGUUAUUCUUCAAAUUCAUCUUUCUUUUUCUUUUCAAAAUUAAAAUAAAAAAAUAAAAUAACAAUAGCAAAAAAAUUGGCAUAUUAGCAAAAGCAAGCUGGGAGGAUUUCAAAUGUAGAAAAAUAAAGCUGUAAUUUUGGAUGGAAUUGAGAGCCUAAUUGUACUCUAUUAUACCCAAAACUAGAGAGACAAUGUAAAUUCAAGGUCAAAUUAAAUCAUUAUUGGAUGAAUCUAUAUAAAAAUUAAGCCUAAGGACAUAACUAGAUUUUUAAUAGGUCAAUUUGAUUUAAUAAUGGGCCAAAUUAAAGUUUAAUUAUAUUUAAGAAUUAAUUUGGAUCUAAUUGAAUGAUUUAAUUAGGUGUAAGGACUUAAUUAUACUUUAAAUAGAACAAAUUAAUUUUAUUAUAGACUUAAUUAAUUGGUAAAAAAUUAAGUUUGAAAGCCUUGUCUUUGUCUUUUAUAUUGUAUUGUUUCCUCUGUUUUCAUCAUUUCCAUCUUUUAUAUUCCAAGACAAUAAUCAAAUACUACCACUGAGUUUUUAUAAUUUUAAACUAAGGGCAAUCAUGCUUUUGUUAAGAGAUAUUAAAAUUAUGCUCGCGUGUUUUAUAAAUGUUUAACAACAUGAAAAAAAGGGACUCUAUCAUACUCAAGUUAAAUUUUCACUUUAAGAAAAUUACAAGUUUGUGGAAAAAACACAAAUGAAUAAAAAAAUUACAAACAACUAAAAUUAACUUUGGCAUGCACGGUUGAAACUUGAAAUUGAAAUAAAAGGACACGAAGGGCAAGUUUGGUGAUUGUUUGAUAUUAUUAUGUUAUAUCUUGUUAUGCAUUGGAUAAUAUAUUGCAAUAUCUUAUGUUGGGUUGAAAAUAAUAUAAGCAAAAAUAGUAUUUAAUAAUUGGUUAUUUUGAUUUCAAAACUUAUAUUUUCAUUCAAGGAUAUAAUAUACCUCACAAUAUUUUGGUUUAAAGUAAGGGUAUCAUGCUUCGAAUUAAAAGAAAAACAUUAUUAUUUUUUUAGUAUCAUGUGCUUUACUUUUAAAACAAACAUACCUUAACCAAACAUUGAUUUUAAAUCAUCAUUGGUAAAAAGUGAAAAAAAAAAAAAAACUAGCAUUUCUUUAAAGAUCGAUAAACACUUGACUAUUUAGUGACAGAUUUGAACACCAAUAUCCAUAAGCCAUAACUAUAGUUAUCCAACCUGAUUUAAGAAUUAACUUGAAAAAAAAAAAACAUGGAUCCAAGUCAUUUCAAUAGUUACAUAUUUCAAUUAUUUUUAUGAAAAUCGCAGCGUUUUUUUUUUUAAUGAAUGCUUAUUCGAUAAGUUUGAAUCGGGUUUAAAUGGAAUAAUUCAGAACUUGGUUAGCUGUGGAAAAUUGUAGUCUACCUCGAAUCUGCUCAUAAAUUAUUUCUUUUAUUUCAGUUUGGUCUCUUUCCUUUGUAAUUCAACUCUUUCAAUAUAAUACACUUCUUUCAAUUACAUCCCUUAGUUUCACAAUUAGGAACACAAACUACCCAACUUCUUAUAGUUAAGCCCUUUCCGAGUUUUGAGUUGGCUACAAUCACUAUCCAAAACUCAAUUACCCCUGAAAUAAUAUCAUCAAAGCUUACAAAACUCGCUACAUGAUUCUCUCAACAGAAAACCUUAAACCAGAAGCUCCUGUAAGACUGCCAAACAAACCACGAUGCUGCUACAGAAGGGAUAUUCUAUGUUGCAAACUUUUCAAGGAUGUCUCAACAGGCAACACUACAAAUUUUUCGAACAAGUCUUUCAUUACUCUUGCCGUAAAAUCAAACUUCUCAUGCUAUAGUUUAUAUAAAUGUUAUGCACAAGGAAAGAAAUUCCAUCUAACAAGGAAUUCUAGACAAGUAGGAAAAUCUAAACACUGCUUUAUUGAAAUCUGAAACACAAUAUAAUGCUGGAUAUCUUCCUAAACGAACAUUUCAUUUUCGAAGCCGUGUCGUUGGAGGUUGAAAAGAGACUUUGAUCAGCCCUAAAAUGUUACUGUUGCGGUGAAAGUAAGAACACUACUGAUAAUAAAAUAUAGCUAAAGUUCUUAUGCGAAUAAUUAAUUAAAUAUUCAAAACUAAAAAUAUAUAGUCAUCUCAUACGUCUAAAAAUAGUUAAAGUCCAGGCUCAAAGUUAGCCGAGUACACCUAAAGAGCUAUCAUAAAAGCAAAACGUCGGGGGGCGGUAAGCAGGGCGGUCUAAGGAGUUAGAAGGAUGACCUGGAUUCUCUUAAUACAAGGGAAGAAAUGAAUAGAAACAAGAAACAAACAAACAAACAAAGAGGUCUCACUGUACUUGUUAUUUUCGCUAAUUACAAUGCUAAAGCCUAUUGUUAACAGGUUUUUAGGUGCUAAAAAAUCCUCUUUAGUACGUAAUCAUACAAUAUUAAAAUCUUUAGGAGUCAAGAUAUAUAUAUAGGAGAAUGUGUCCAGGAAAAAAAAAAUUCCGAAUGAACAUUUACCCUCGUAAGCUUUUUGUUUGUUUGUCUGUUUGUCACUUUACAGAGAGUAUGACUGUAUCAGUAUCUCCCGCUAUUUCUCGAUCCAGACACCAAAUUGACUUGAGUAUCAAAAAGCUGCCCUCUAAAGUAUAAUAAAUUUUCAUCAACCCUUUUCUUUCCCCUCGCCACUUUCAACCACUCCUCCAAUCGACACACCACGACGACGACCAUGCAUUUUUAAAGAGACAUGGCACGUGAAAAUGCAUUUUCAGCUUGAGAAGUUGGGAGUGGACUCAGAUGGGGUGGAGAGCAAAUUAAGAUUUUAGGAAAUUAAUAUUGUUGGGUUUUAUUAGUAGGUAGUAUUUUGAUUGAUAAAUUAAUAAUUAUUGUAUGAUCGAAAGGGUGGAGUCGACAACCUGGGUUGGAGAUGCAGGAUUUGACAUUUACGUGUUGUUUCUAUCGAACACACUUCUCUCUCUCUCUCUCUCUCUCUCUCUCUCUCUCUCUCUCUCUCUCCUCUCUCAUAUAUAUAUAUGAGAGGAGAGAGAGAGACACACACACACACACAAUUUUCAAGACUGUGAAAGCGUUGAAAUAUGUAGCCAGUAUCGUCCUCUCCGUUUGUCACUCUGAUGUACAGUAUUUGGAAAGAUAGAGAAGCAUGGACCAGAUGGUGGUGGAGCCUUUGGUUGUGUUAUAGAGGUGAUAGCAUGGCAGCACUUCUUACGGGCACCUUCCGACCCAACCUCACAUGAAAAAAAAAAUCCCUGAAUCUGGCAGUACAGGUACUUACUAAUCAUUCCAUAAUCGUUAAGGUUAAUUAAUUGCGAUUAAUAAUGUCUUUAAUCAAAUGGUCACGGACCAUUGUAUCAAAAACCUGAUGAAAACAAGUGCCCGCAACCCUGCCUUACCACGCUUCAAGGCAGCUGUGAGGAGUAAAGCACCAUAAUUUUAAAAAGAAAACAGCUAGCAUUUCGAGUUAAUUAUAUUUUAAAAAGAAGAAUGUGACUCUGAUUCUUCCACGCCAUGGCUUAAUUAUACUAUUUUCAUUGACUUAAUUAUGUAAGUGUCAAAUGUCAAGAAUCCCACUGCUUGAUUUACCGAUUGAAAGUCUUGUCUGAUAGAAUGCUAAUUAAUCUGUUUGUGUUGUGAAACACGCGGAAAAUUUACAUGCAGUAGCCUAAAAAAUCUUCAUUUGACUAUUAACAGUACUGGAUCCAAUUUUUUUGUCAUUGAAAAAAUUGAUAAGAGACGGACAUUUAGGUAAGGCAUCUUUCAAUGUUGCCGAUUUAACAUAUACUGGCAAUUUAUUACUGCAACUACGACUACCAUGCAUAGUACACAUGGUGAUUUGUGACCAAAUAAGCAAUUAAUUAGAACCUCACGAUCCAUUCCACUAAUAAUUUCAAACGAGGCGAGAGGCACAUCGAAGAGAGAGAGGAGAGAAUGGACCCAAGGAUUUUUAAGGCGAUGUGUAUAGGAAGAUGAUGGUUGUGCCAAGUCUCUAUCGGGACACCGAGAAAGUAGAUGACAGUUUUUAAUAAGCCAAAUAAAUCUUUAUCUCAAGGUCACCAUUUGUUUCCUUCCGUCAACAACAAUAAUUUUAAUAGAGUAAUGUUACAUUUCUAUCACUUUGUUUGGUUUUUUCAAGAGUAAGUAGCAAGGUCAACUUGGAUCCAAGAGCAUGAAAAGCUGUUGUGGUAAAUAAAUUAAAUAUUCAACCAUAAGCUAGGAUGCUGUAUGCUGAAUCCCCCAUGCCAUAUUCUUAAAAAAAAAAAAAACAGAGAGAGAUUAACGCGAAUCAUGUUAACAACGUCUUUGAUCCUUAAUUCUAUCGCAUAUCAUAGAAAACAAGUGAGUUUGGAGCGUCAAACAAGCUCAGUAUGUCACAUCGAAUAAGUGCUCAAAAAACAGUUUCUCACCGAAUGAAAACGACAAAGCAAUUAAGUUUUACAUGGUUCUCUCUCAUCCGAGUUAGUGAAGUUUACCACUUUGCACAAAACUCAAAACUUCGUAAGUACUUCAUUUUGUCAAAUGUAUUUUGCAUUUUCUUUUCUAUAAUUCAAUGGAAAAUUUUAAAAACGUCCUCACACAGCUGAUCUUGUUAACAAGGGAGCUAAUUUAUAUUUAUGAAGUUGAAAGAGAAAAUUGGAUUUAGUUAUGAAACAACAGAGAAGGAGAGAACAAAACUACAUUCAACAUUAAAGAACACUCCAUGGUUUUAGCUUCAAUGUAAAUCUAAAAAGAAAAAAAAAACAAGAAAUUGAAGCAACAAGAAAGAAGGUAAAAAGGCAAAGUGAAAAGGAAAGCGUGGACCCCUGACUCUAUCUGUCGGUCAUCGCCUCGGAUUUCUCGCCUCUGCCUAAAAAGUGACACGGCAGACGAGGGUCCAUUCUUUCAUGCCCAAUUUUUAUUUUUAUUUUAAUUCUUCUACUUAGGGAUUACUAUAUUCUACUGUACCGUUUAAUUUUCUCAUUCCAAUCGCAAUUAAUUGAUUCGAAAAGGUGUAGAUAUAUAUAUUAAAUGGGCCUUUCCAUUAUCGGGCAGCUCAAAAACUCAACCACUCCUCUGACCCAAUUCUAUGCCUCCUUUACUUUGAUUCCUUUACUAUCUUCUUAUCAAUUAUUUUGUAAUCAUACAAUAGGUUUUCUUAGCAUAGUACACACCAUUCUACGGUCCAUAAUGGGUAUUUAAUUUCUAGGCUACAUAGUACAGUAGACAGCACAGUUACAGUCAACAGUGUUCGUGUUUGAUGACACCAUCCAACCAUCAUCUAAUGGUGGGUUUCACUUGGGUACGUACAUGUUCAAUCUCUUACGAGGUGUUACCAUCACAGUCAUCUGGAAAAUCCAACGGUGGAUAAGGGUUUCAAGAACAGAGACAUGUUUCAUGGAGUCCACCCCUCUAUUUUAGUAGUGGUGGUAUGAUAUGUAUGAACAUGAAAGUGAAUGGGUUCUUAUUAGAAUAGUAUUUGAUUUGUUUUUUCAGAGAUGAUGAGAGGGAGGGAGGGAGGGAGAGAAAGGUGCAUGGGGUCGUGGUCAUUUCUGGAACUGAGAAACCCCAGCUGGUAGGGGCGGGUCUGCACCUAUCUUUUGUCUUUUUUAACGUUGGCUUUCCACUCUUUUUACUCUUCUAAAUAUAGCCCCCAUACCAUAUCAUUCUCUUCAUCAUCACCAAUCUUUCUCUCUCUCACCACCCCCCUUCAAGAUAGGCGAGACUCUUGGGGGAUAAAGAGAAUAGUUUGAGAAUCACCGGCACGCACACACACGAAAUCAAAUUCCAUAUAUCUCCCUCUUUCACUUGGAAGAAUUGAUCAAGAUUUGCUAACAAAGGUAGCUUCUUUUUUGAGGGGAAUGUUGUCUGGCUCGAGGACUUUUUGUUCAUCAAUCUAAUCGAACUUUCUACCUGUAGAUCUAGUAUCUUAUUUAAGAUUGAUCACGUAUUAGGGUUGUCGGACCAGGCUUCAUUCCCCCCAAUCAUUGCUUCCAUCUCAAGGGCUGUUGCAUGUACAGGUUUGAUUUUUAAUCAUCCUUUUUUUCUUUAAUUGGUUUGGUAUAUCUUAAUCUUGCUCGGGAUAAAAAAACUGGGAGUUUUUUAAUCAUGGGUUUUUUCAUUUUAGUCUUUAGGGUUGUUGGUAUAUAUGCAGAUUGGUGUAACCAUGAUGUGUUUUGACCAUGCUGAGAACUAAGAAGCUUCAUCAUUACUCUUUUUCUGGUUUUCUUUUUCUCUGAUCAUGUGAUGAUGGUGUUUUUUCUGUCAGUCUACAACCUUCGAAGGCUCAUCAUUACUAGGCAGAUUUUUCCCAUGAUAGCUUCAUCAUGUAUCUGAUCUGUCUGUUUGUGCUAUUUCAGAUCUGGCUUUCAACUUUUGAUGGAAAUGAUACUUCUAUUCUUCUCUCUUACUCGUUUUGUUUUAUUGUGUCUCAUGCUGCAGUUGUUUCUGAGGUUUGGCUCUGAUCUCCAAAUCAAUAUUUUACAGAGAAGAGGGCAUGUGCUGUGUGAAGAUGUACAAGCAAGAAAGUGAUGCGCUUUCUGUCAUUGUUUGAAGAGUCUCUCGAUUCUCUAUUGAAAGAGAUAGAAAACUUGUUGGUAAUAAAAGUCUAGACGUACUUGCAUACUCGUGAUAUGAAUUUUGGAUACAACAUUUUGGCUCAGAUAUUUAAAGUUUUCUAUAGUCGUGCCCUUGGUUUCUUUGCUUCCUCUUUCAGAAGAGUUUUGCUGUUUUCCAAAAUCAAAGCUGGAUGUUUGAACAUGGGUAACUUCCUAUGCAUGCCUGCCUGCCUACUUAUGAAGUGUGCUAUAUUCUACCUGUUUCUUGGCCUCUUUUCCUUUGGGUUGAGUAGGGGUAAACAUUAUCAUUAUUAUUAUUAUUAUUAUUAUUAUUAUUAUUAUUAUUAUUAUUAUUAUUAUUAUUAUUAUGCUUUCCCUUGAACUGCUGUUUAUAUGCCAAGAAUAUUUUAAAUUGAGAACAAUUAUGUUAUUGCCAGGAGUUUGUGCCCGCGUGUUUUGUGUCACUCUCACAUUACAUGAAACAACCUGUCUUGGCAAAGUUAUCUCUCGAUUACAUUUCGAAUUCUUUUCGAACAAGAGAUAUUGUUGUGAAUUCCUCAGUUAAAGCCUAGCUAGAAAGGAAUGGAUAAUGAUAGCUCACAAAAUCCUCUUGUUUCUUAAUUUUAACUCUACUAGCUAGAAAGGAAUGGAUAAUGAUUCUUGUUUCACCAUUUGAUUAUAUAUGCCACGCGUUAAAUAGCAGGUUCGUAAUUAAAGUCUCCCCGCAAUGUGGAAUAUGGAUGUCAUACUUUUCCAGCGUAAAGCUUGAUGAUUGCUUUCUAGAGGAGCAGUAUGCAGGUAAAACCUCUUGUUUUCAGUGAGUUUUUUUCUAUUUCUUGUGUAUCUGUUGUAUUGCUAAGGCCAAGGGAUGACAUGGGUGUUGAAUUUUUGUGAGCAUUGUUAUUCCAUCGUGCUUGCCUCCCUGCCCAUCAUUUGCCUUGCUUUUCUCAUGUGAGUUUAGUAAUGAGAUCCUUGCUAAAAGAUGAAAAGACAAACAUUAUGAUUUGAAAGAUGGCCAAACGUGUCACCUAUGCUCUAGGCUUAUACGUUUAUACAUGCCAGUUGUAUACGGGCCUAAAUAAUUAAUCUUCUCUCUCUCUCUCUUCCGCACUAGCAUUCAUGGAAACACAACAAUGAAAGAAUUAAACUCGCAUAGAGUGAGAGCAAAGGCAAAAGGUCAGGGAGAAGAAGGAGCCAUGAAUAUCCUUUUUAUUCCAUGUCACUGAGUAACCUAACGUUUUUAGUUCUGCAAAAUUUGUUUCAUAUUUUAAAGCUGGUUUGGAAUCUAGGAAGCAAACUCCAUUUUUUAAUGUUAUUAUAU